rnacentral:rRNA from 1 species
GAUGAACGCUGGCGGAGUGCCUAAUACAUGCAAGUCGAGCGAACAGACGAGGCGCUUGCUCCUCAGACGUUAGCGGCGGACGGGUGAGUAACACGUGGAUAACCUACCUAUAAGACUGGGAUAACUUCGGGAAACCGGAGCUAAUACCGGAUAAUAUAUUGAACCGUAUGGUUUUAUAGUGAAAGACGGGUUUGCUGUCACUUAUAGAUGGAUCCGCGCCGCAUUAGCUAGUUGGUAAGGUAACGGCUUACCAAGGCAACGAUGCGUAGCCGACCUGAGAGGAUGAUCCGCCACACUGCAACUGAGACACCGUCCAGACGCCUACGGGAGGCAGCAGUAGGGAAUCUUCGGCAAUAGGCGAAAGCCUGACGGAGCAACGCGGCGUGAGUGAUGAAGGUCUUCGGGUCGUAGAGCUCUGUUGUUGGGGAGGAAGGGGUGUAUGUGUAACUAUGCACGUCUUGACGGUACCUAAUCAGAAAGCCACGGCUAACUACGUG